rnacentral:rRNA from 1 species
UGGGGAAUUUUGCACAAUGGGGGAACCCUGAUGCAGCGACGCCGCGUGAUUUAGAAGGCCUUCGGGUUGUAAAAAUCUUUUGUAUGGGAAGAAAAUGACAGUACCAUACGAAUAAGGACCGGCUAAUUCCGUGCCAGCAGCCGCGGUAAUACGGAAGGUUCGGGCGUUAUCCGGAUUUAUUGGGUUUAAAGGGAGCGUAGGCCGUUUGGUAAGCGUGUUGUGAAAUGUAGGAGCUCAACUUCUAGAUUGCAGCGCGAACUGUCAGACUUGAGUGCGCACAACGUAGGCGGAAUUCAUGGUGUAGCGGUGAAAUGCUUAGAUAUCAUGAAGAACUCCGAUUGCGAAGGCAGCUUACGGGAGCGCAACUGACGCUGAAGCUCGAAGGUGCGGGUAUCGAACAGG